CGUUGAAACACCGGUUCCCGUACGAUCACCGAAGUUAAGCAUGGUCGAGACUGGUCAUUACCUAGAUGGGUGACCGCUUGGGAACACCACAUGC